AUUCUUUCUCUGGAGGGUCCUUGCUUGUGGAAGAGCCAGGCUAGAGUAGGAGAGGUUGAAUUCAGACAGAGGCAGAGAUGAGCACUGGAGAGGGAGCCUGGCUUUGUCCCAGGUGUAUCUGGAGGCCCAGGGACAAUGUGACCAUUGAAGUAAGCAGACAAUACGUUUAGGACCUCAAGGUGAACCAUAAUUGGGACACAGAAGUUUCUGGAAGAGACAGACAUGAUGUCUGGAGCUACGCAGCCCAUUUGAAACCAAGAGGAAACCAGCCUGAGAAUGAAAAGCCAACCUGACAAAGACAAGGAAAAGCCUGCAUGCCUGAUGGCAUUGUCCAGCAACGGAAGCAAGACCAGCAACCUGUGACUGCUGGGCUUCUCAGCGUAUGGGACAUACGAGACCCUCUGCUCCUAGCAGCAGAUACAGAUCAACCUCACACACAGGGUGGUCCUUUGUUUAACAUGGGUCUCCCUCUGUCAGUCAGGCUGGAAUGCAGGAUUGUUAACAUGGCUCACCACAGUCUUGACUUCCUGGGCUCAAACUAUCCUCCCACCUCCUGUGUAACUGGAACCACAGGCAUGUACCACCAUGUCCGGCUAAUUUAAAACAUUUUUUUUUUUUUUCCGUAGAGACAGGGUCUCACUUUGUUGCCCAGGCUGGUCUCGAACUCCUGGGCUCAAACAACCCUCCUGCCUCAGCCUCCAGAAGUGCUGGGAUUGCAGGCGUGAGCCACUGCACCCUCCAUCUUCCUGAUGGAAAUCUGUCAGUGAAGAACCCGCAAGUGACUGAUAAUGCUCUGUUUGCUCAGUCACAACCUGAGAUGCACAGGUUUUAUUUUUCUUUUGGUGGGGACAGGAGAGUGGGAGCCAAAAUUUGUCACCGUAAAGACUCCCACCCUCCUGUCCUCACCAGAAGAAAAAAAAACUUUGCAUCUGAGGUUGCGACUGAGCAAACACAACAUUAACUUCGGGAAAUUUCUCCGUCCGUGCAUUAACUGAAGGAAACUGCUGUGUUGCUCUCUGCACUGUUUAGAGAGAAUGUGAGUUAGGAACUGUUGGAAGAGACAUUAAUAGAUAUGAAAUUUUUGUCAUGACGAAACUAAUGCUGUGUUAAUAAGAAACAGACGAAGGGCCCGUCUGUUUCAUUCCUUUCUCUUCUUAAGAGGAUAUAGCAGAAUUAUGGUUAAGUAACCCUGAGGACAGUUACAUGAUAGCCUUUCUCAUGUCACAUGUGUGGAAAGAGAGUGUGAGUUCGAAGUUUGAGGUAUUGUAAAUAAAUA